rnacentral:sRNA from 1 species
ACAGCAGAAAGCAAAAAUGUCCCAUUGGAACGAGAAGCCACUAGUAAAAAUGACCAAGAUAACUGUCCUGUGAAACCCUGUUACCUCAAUAUCUUGGAAGAUGAGCAACCUUUAAAUAGUGCUGCCCAUAAGGACUCACCUCCUACUGUUGAUUCAACUCAACAGCCUAACCCUUUGCCGUUACGUUUACCUGAAAUGGAACCCUUAGUGCCUAGAGUCAAAGAAGUUAAAUCUGCUCAGGAAACUCCUGAAAGCUCUCUGGCUGGAAGUCCUGAUACUGAAUCUCCAGUGUUAGUGAAUGACUAUAUUUGUCUUUCACAGUUUGGUGUCAGAGUAGGAUUCGAAAGACAGAGUAGGAUUUGAAAGAGACCCCCUGUGGCCUCUGGAAGCAUCGAGGAACCAGGCAAAAGGUGUCCAUUG